rnacentral:rRNA from 1 species
GAUGAACGCUGGCGGCGUGCCUAAUACAUGCAAGUCGAGCGAACGGACGAGAAUCUUGCUUUUCUGAUGUUAGCGGCGGACGGGUGAGUAACACGUGUAUAACCUACCUAUAAGACUGGGAUAACUUCGGGAAACCGGAGCUAAUACCGGAUAAUAUUUUGAACCGCAUGGUUCAAAAGUGAAAGACGGUCUUGCUGGCACUUAUAGAUGGAUCCGCGCUGCAUUAGCUAGUUGGUAAGGUAACGGCUUACCAAGGCAACGCUGCAUAGCCGACCUGAGAGGCUGAUCGGCCACACUGGAACUGAGACACGGUCCAGACUCCUACGGGAGGCAGCAGUCGGGAAUCUUCCGCAAUGGGCGAAAGCCUGACGCAGCAACGCCGCGUGUGUGAUGACGGUCUUCGGAUCGUAAAGCUCUGUUAUUAGGGAAGAACAUAUGUGUAAGUAACUGUGCACAUCUUGACGGUACCUAAUCAGAAAGCCACGGCUAACUACGUG